GAUCAUGGCUCAGGAUGAACGCUGGCGGCGUGCUUAACACAUGCAAGUCGAACGAAGACAUCUGAGUGCUUGCACUUUGGCAGACUGAGUGGCGGACGGGUGAGUAACGCGUGGGUAACCUGCCUUAUACAGGGGGAUAACAGUUGGAAACGACUGCUAAUACCGCAUAAGCGCACGGUAUCGCAUGAUACAGUGUGAAAAACUCCGGUGGUAUAAGAUGGACCCGCGUCUGAUUAGCUUGUUGGUGAGGUAACGGCCCACCAAGGCGACGAUCAGUAGCCGGCCUGAGAGGGUGAACGGCCACAUUGGGACUGAGACACGGCCCAAACUCCUACGGGAGGCAGCAGUGGGGAAUAUUGCACAAUGGGGGAAACCCUGAUGCAGCGACGCCGCGUGAGUGAUGAAGUAUUUCGGUAUGUAAAACUCUAUCAGCAGGGAAGAUAAUGACGGUACCUGACUAAGAAGCACCGGCUAAAUACGUG
rnacentral:rRNA from 1 species